rnacentral:sRNA from 1 species
AUGUACUGCGGUGCUCCGGUUCCUCCGCGCCGACUGCACCCACCUGACGGCUGCUCGCUACGUCGUGUUAACC